rnacentral:rRNA from 1 species
UGGGGAAUAUUGGGCAAUGGGGGAAACCCUGACCCAGAGACGCCGUGUGAGUGAAGAAGGCCUUAACUGGUUGUAAAGCUCUGUCGUGGGGUGACGAUAAUGACGGUAGGUAACUACAGUACCCCAAGAGGAAGCACCGGCUAACUCUGUGCCAGCAGCCGCGGUAAUACAGAGGGUGCUAGCGUUGUUCGGAAUUAUUGGGCGUAAAGGGUGCGUAGGCGGUCUUUUAAGUCAAUUGCGAAAUUCUGAGGCUUAACCUCAGCGCUGUAAUUGAUACUACUAGACUAGAAUAUGGAAGGGGUAGAUGGAAUUUUCAGUGUAAGAGUGAAAUCUAUAGAUAUUGAAAGGAACACCAGAGGCGAAAGCGAUCUACUGGGACAUUAUUGACGCUGAGGCACGA